rnacentral:rRNA from 1 species
GACGAACGCUGGCGGCGUGCCUAAUACAUGCAAGUCGAGCGAAUGACGAGAAGCUUGCUUCUCUGAUUUAGCGGCGGACGGGUGAGUAACACGUGGGCAACCUGCCCUACAGAUCGGGAUAACUCAGGGAAACCUGGGCUAAUACCGGAUAAUCCUUCGUAUCACAUGUUUUGAAGUUGAAAGGCGCUUGGGCGUCACUGUAUGAUGGGCCCGCGGUGCAUUAGCUAGUCGGUGGGGUAACGGCUGACCAAGGCAACGAUGCAUAGCCGACCUGAGAGGGUGAUCGGCAACAUUGGGACUGAGACACGGCCCAAACUCCUACGGGAGGCAGCAGUAGGGAAUCUUCCACAAUGGACGAAAGUCUGAUGGAGCAACGCCGCGUGAGUGAUGAAGGUUUUCGGAUCGUAAAACUCUGUUGUAAGGGAAGAACAAGUACGUUAGGAAAUGAACGUACCUUGACGGUACCUUAUUAGAAAGCCACGGCUAACUACGUGCCAGCCGCCGCCGUAA